rnacentral:rRNA from 1 species
UACGUAGGGUCCGAGCGUUGUCCGGAAUACUGGGCGUAAAGCGUGCGCAGGCGGUUCGUUGUGUCGGCGGUGAAAGCCCCGGGCUCAACCUGGGAAUGGCCGUUGAAACUGGCGAACUGGAGUGUGGCAGAGGGGGGUGGAAUUCCGCGUGUAGCAGUGAAAUGCGUAGAGAUGCGGAGGAACACCGAUGGCGAAGGCAGCCCCCUGGGCUGACACUGACGCUCAGGCACGAAAGCGUGGGGAGCAAACAGG